GAUAUGCGACACUGCUUACUGCAAGAAAUGGGGUAGAUGAUGGGCCACCUGCAGUGAGGUUGUUCUUGACAGAAAGACUAAUCAUGCAACAAUUAACUGCAUGCAAACUCAAAGAACAUAGGGAACAAUAAUAAUUCCAUUACAAGCACGCUGUAAUGUUAUGUCCAGUCUAAAUGAACAGCUUACACAGGGCACUGACCUGAAUCAUUUAUUGUGCAAUGAGACAUAUGUGACUCAUUGCCUUGGUCAUUUUGUACUGCAAUGGGACUUGCAAGUGGUGUGCCUGCAUAAAAACAAAGAUGUUAAGACGCUGAAUGUCAUUAAAGGAAAUAUUCCCCUUGUAUGAAUCAGCCAUUUUACUUGUGACAGUACUGUUCACAGCACUCUGCUGUGCAUUCAACAUUGUAGUCAAGGGUCGCAGCACUCUGCUAUCGGCCUUUUGGACCACCUUUGGAGUCGCAGCCCUCUUGCAACGUCGCUGGUGCCUGAAAUAAAAUGUACCUCUCUGUAAAAA